rnacentral:snoRNA from 1 species
UCAGUGCUUUCACAGGUCCUCCCACAGGCUGUGGGGCCAGGAUUUGGUGGCUGGUGCUGAAAAUCCUUGGUUGCAUCUUUGCCCUGGGGACCGUUCCAGUGGGCCAUGCCUGCCAUGCGCUGUGAUAGAG